rnacentral:rRNA from 1 species
UACGUAGGGGGCGAGCGUUGUCCGGAGUUACUGGGCGUAAAGCGCACGCAGGCGGUCUGCUAAGUUUGGAGUGACAGUUGGUGGCUUAACUGCCAAAGUGCUUCGAAAACUGACAGACUUGAGGGCUUCAGAGGGACACGGAAUUCCGGGUGGAGUGGUGAAAUGCGUAGAUAUCAGGAAGAACACCCGUGGCUAAGGCGGCUCUCUAGUACGGUACUGACGCUGAGACGCGAAAGCGUGGGGAGCGAACAGG